rnacentral:rRNA from 1 species
GACGUAGGUGGCGAACGUUAUCCGGAAUUAUUGGGCGUAAAGGAUGCGUAGGUGGUGUAGUAAGUUAUCGGUGGUAAAUCGAGGCUCAACCUCGUGGAAGUCGGUAAUACUGCUAUGCUAGAGGAUAGGAGAGGUUAACGGAACUCCCUGUGGAGCGGUGAAAUGCGUAGAUAUAGGGAAGAACACCAAUAAGGCGAAGGCAGUUAACUAGUCUAUUCCUGACAUUGAGGCAUGAAAGCGUGGGGAGCAAAACGG